UGUGAGCGUAUACCAAAGUUGUUGCAGUUAAAACGCUCGUAGUCGGAAUUUGGCAGUUCCGGAAGUGUGCACGUCGUGUGCGCACUUUGCGGGGACUGCUUUUGUGGUCUUGCGUAGGAUGAGGCACUUUCAUUAGUGAACGUCCUCACGCAACCACUCUUUACUGUGAGAAAAUCAGAGUGCUCAAAGCAGGCAUUUGCCGUGAAUGUAUUAGCAUGGAAUAAUAGAAUAGGACUCGGUUCUAUUUUGUUGGUUUGUUGGGACUGAGUAAUGAUUAAGAGGGACAGUUGGGGGCAUUUGUAUUCCGGCGCUAGAGGUGAAAUUCUUAGAUUACCGAAAGACAAACUGCUGCGAAAGCGUCUGCCAAGGAUGUUUUCAUUGA
rnacentral:rRNA from 1 species